CCAUGAUCCGACCGGGCUGUCGUAAGGCGAGAGCGAAGCCCGCCAAGCGUCCGGAGGAAGCUGUCCCUGUCGCGGAGCUGCUACCGGGGCGCUGCUUGAGAGGUGCUCCUCCUGCAUCUUGAGGACAUUUUGCAUUUCGGCUCCCUUCCCAUCUCGCUGGCAUCGGAUACCCCAAGUGGGUCCUGUCUCCUCCGUGAAUCAGACUUCGGAAACUCCCUCGCUUCAGGGUCAGAGUCCAAGUACACAUGAGCUUGAGGAUUCUGAAUGCAUGCCCAGCUCUAGCCCUUAGAAACGCACGCUUGGACAGAUUUCUCCAUAUACAUCCCAGGAACGGACCCCUUGAGAAGGAAUUCUUCAUGCCGGCUGCCCUCUCCAGCGUCCUGGCCAGUGGCAUCGCGAUCCCAGGAAACCUCGCUUUAGAUAUUGCCCACCACCCCGCCCCAUUCACGGUUUCUGGGUCUUCCUGGAGGAAUGACAAAUCAGAGACUGCGGACUCCUGUGUUCACGUCAUUUUAGCCGCCGCGUCCCUUAUUUGGUGUACCCCUUGUCAGUCCCGGAGGAUGGCAACUAGACAAGAGGUCGCAGGCCCCCACACCCGCUCCAAAACGGCUCUUGGCUUUUUGUUUCUUUUAAGCGAUGAGUAAAGAGAUGACUUCCGUGAAAACUUUUGCUGUAGAAGAGAUCCUUCCCUCUGUAUAUGUGUGUGGGAUGGGAAGUGUCAGACACUUAGCUCCUUGAGAUCAAAAAGGUUUUGUGUUUGCUUUCUUCCCUUCUUUGCAUCCCUAGCAUCUUUAAAAGAGUAGGCAGGCGCGGUGACACAUGCGUGUAAUCCCAGCACUUUGGCGGUCGAGGCAGGAGGAUCACUUGAACCCAGGAGUUGGAGACCAACCUGGGCAACAUAGUGAGACCUCCAUCUCUACAAAAAAAAAAAAAAAAAAAAAAGAAAAUUAGCCCGGUGCCAGUGGUCCCAGCUAGCCGGUAGGAGGCUGAGGUGGGAGAAUUGCUUGAGCCAGGAAGGUUGAGGUUGCAAUGAGCUAUGAUAACACCACUGCACUCCAGCCUAGAGCAGACCCUGUCUAAAAAUUAUAUAUAUGUAUGUGUGUAUAUAUGUGUGUAUAUGUAUAUAUAUGUGUGUGUGUAUGUAUAUAUGCAGUGAUGUUUUCUGUUUUAUUUUUAUUUUAUUUUAUUUUAUUUUUGCACCUUUUGUACUCCUCCUGGAGUUUAUCCUGAUAGACAGCGGUUUGUCUGGAGCCAGAGCUCACAAGUAGUUGGAAGUGCCCUAAGGACGCCAUUUUGUUCUUAAAUAUAACUAGCAAAUAUUACUCAAAACUGUGCACCAUCCCCAACCCCUGGUCCCCAAUAAUUUGAAUAAUGUGAAUAUGCAAGUUAAGGUAUUGAGAUGGGAACCCUCCUGUGUGGUAUAUCUUGCUCUUAUGCUUUGUAAAGCCAAUAAACCUCAAUUCUACUCU